rnacentral:lncRNA from 1 species
GAAGAAGACCAAAUAAUUAAAACCCAUCAAUUAACCAAAUAUGGUUAAUAACUACUCAAAUCUAUAUCGAGAUAUAUAUUAUGUACACAUACAAAGCUUUAUCCAUGUCUGAUAAGGUGAUUUUAGAUUCAGCGACAAAGGUGGAAAGCAAAUCAUAGAAAUAAUUAGGACCACAACUAGAAUCUCUUUUCAUUUCAUACAUUGCUAUAAGAAAGUG